GCCGGUAGUAACAAAUGAAACCUCGAGACUCAAGUAGUGAAACGAGUUUUUCCACCUACUGACGUCCACGGUAAGACAUUUAAGCACAAGACCAGCCAGCACAGUACAGGUAGAGACGCCAGUGAAGCCGGCAGGUCGCUCCCCACACACACAGACCAAAGUGUGGCAUCAAAACUUGACUACCAACGAUAAAAGGUGAAGGAUGAUGACUGGCUGGGUGACCUUCCUGGCGUGGGUGGUUGUGUUGCUGCUCUGUGGCGCUCCCUCACCGGCUCUGUCUGAGAGCGUCGGGCGGCCGGGUGUUCCUGGAGGCAGCGCCAGGCUGGCCAGACACGCCCAGUUCGGUGGUUUUGGUGCACGUGGAAGUGGUAGUUUUGGUGGAGGUUUUGGUGCAGGUGGAGGUGGAUGCCUUCUACCCGAGCGCGGGAGCGGCAUUUACUUCUUGGUCAGGCAGAAAUUCCUUUUGGAGACCUCGAAUCAGAUUUGGGCUAUCCGGGCCAUUCUUUUGACAAUGGUACAGGGGCUAACUUCACUUCACCUGGCUGAUGGCGUCACCUGGCUGAUGACGUCACCUGGCUGAUGGCGUCACCUGGCUGAUGGCGUCACCUGGCUGAUGACGUCACCUGGCUGAUGGCGUCACCUGGCUGAUGGCGUCACCUGACUGAUGACGUCACCUGCCUGAUGGCGUCACCUGGCUGAUGGCGUCACCUGGCUGAGGGCAUCACCUGGCUGAUGGCGUCACCUUCCUGAGGGCAUCACCUGGCUAAUGACAUAUACUCAACACUUGCGGAGUUCAGAACAAGCAAAACUCCUCCAACAUUGCAUUUUCUAUAUAUAUAAAUAAAACAUAAUAAAACGAUACAUUUC